rnacentral:rRNA from 1 species
GACGAACGCUGGCGGCGUGCCUAAUACAUGCAAGUAGAACGCUGAAGGAGGAGCUUGCUUCUCUGGAUGAGUUGCGAACGGGUGAGUAACGCGUAGGUAACCUGCCUGGUAGCGGGGGAUAACUAUUGGAAACGAUAGCUAAUACCGCAUAAUAGUAGAUGUUGCAUGACAUUUGCUUAAAAGGUGCAAUUGCAUCACUACCAGAUGGACCUGCGUUGUAUUAGCUAGUUGGUGGGGUAACGGCUCACCAAGGCGAUGAUACAUAGCCGACCUGAGAGGGUGAUCGGCCACACUGGGACUGAGACACGGCCCAGACUCCUACGGGAGGCAGCAGUAGGGAAUCUUCGGCAAUGGACGGAAGUCUGACCGAGCAACGCCGCGUGAGUGAAGAAGGGUUUCGGAUCGUAAAGCUCUGUUGUAAGAGAAGAACGAGUGUGAGAGUGGAAAGUUCACACUGUGACGGUAUCUUACCAGAAAGGGACGGCUAACUACGUG